GCGGUCUGACGGCGGUUGUGACAACCCUGUACUAUACAAAAAGUAAAUAGCUUUUGCGUUUUGGCGUCUCCGGCGCCGGACCCGCGCAAUUUGAAACCGUGAACCAUGUCAGGCGGGGAACCGAGCAGCAUUAAGCGGCGGAUAAUGUGCCGCGGGGAACCCGGCGCCGGGGACACCAAAGCGCAAAAGCAGGUUUU
rnacentral:SRP_RNA from 1 species